rnacentral:rRNA from 1 species
UUUCCAGACUCCUACGGGAGGCAGCAGUGAGGAAUAUUGGUCAAUGGGCGGGAGCCUGAACCAGCCAAGUCGCGUGAGGGAAGAAGGUACUGAGUAUUGUAAACCUCUUUUGCCAGGGGACAAAGGCGGCCACGGGUGGCCGUAAGAGGGUACCUGGAGAAAAAGCAUCGGCUAACUCCGUGCCAGCAGCCGCGGUAAUACGGAGGAUGCGAGCGUUAUCCGGAUUUAUUGGGUUUAAAGGGUGCGUAGGCGGAACAUUAAGUCAGCGGUAAAAUCGAGGGGCUCAACCCCUUUAAGCCGUUGAAACUGGUGAUCUUGAGUGGGCGAGAAGUAUGCGGAAUGCGUGGUGUAGCGGUGAAAUGCAUAGAUAUCACGCAGAACUCCGAUUGCGAAGGCAGCAUACCGGCGCCCGACUGACGCUGAGGCACGAAAGCGUGGGGAUCGAACAGGAUUAGAUACCCUGGUAA